UUUACCUAUAUAGUAUAGUAAAGUAAGAAAGAGAGAUAUUACUUGAAAACACCCUAAAGUAAAACUUCAUCUUUAAAGUAUCUCACGGUUUUUACAGUUAAAAAUUGAGUUUUAUUAACCGACCCUUAUCUCUCAUUUAUAGUGUGGGUUUUUCUAUUAUUCCCUAAAUAUGGUUAAGAAUUCUUCCGAACAGUUGUUGGGUUUUUAUGAGCAAUUUUAUCAUGGCAACAAUUCACGCGGAAGUUUGACAUUGUCUGUCAAAAGACAACAGCUGUAAAAUAAAUCCGUUUGAAUGAUUUUCGAAAAUUGGAAUCGAGGCACUAAAACAAUGUAGACGGUUAAAAAUGAAUAAGAGCAAAGUUGAAGAAAGUAGUUCCUUAGAAUGAAUAAUUUAAACGAAAGUGAGAACUUUUCAAAUUAUUUACAUAUACAUAUGUAUAUCACAGUUAAUACUGAAACUCUUCGUGGCGAACACAGAACAAAAGAUUCGCGAAGAAUACUGCUACUAAAAAAGAAGCAGGUAGAAAAGCCUGUAUACAAUUUGCGAAAUAGCUUGUAUGGUCCAUGGGCAAAUGGCAAAAUAUGUAUAUUGGUCUCAGAUGAAUGUAAAAUUUAAUUAUUUGGUAGUAAAAGGUAUGGAAACUUUGUUCGACGUCCCCCUAAAGGAUUGUAAUACCUAAUUUUUAACAAAAACAUGGCGGCGCUUAAUUCAUGAUAACGGAAGUAGCAAUAUAACUCUCGGUCCGUUACCAAUGAAGUUGGUUCUACAAACCCCAAACAGACGUUCAUUUUUGCCCAGCCAAUGGCUAUCAGCUGGACAAUUCGUCAAAGUAAUUGGGGAAAUGUUUUCCGCAGCUACAACUUCUACAAAAAUAUAUUUCACAUGACCACCGGGUCUUCACGAGCAACUUAUAUCCGACAGAAAACUUUCAACUAAGCAGCGUUCCCUAAAACUACUUAUAGUAUUUGCGUAAUAGUUUAUACUGUUAAAUCAACAACUAAAUGAAAUUUGAGUGAAUCACAACUAUUAUGCUAGAUAUAUCUAAAGGAAUGAUAACAAAUAUACAAAAUAAAAUAAAGAUAUCUCAUGUACCAGCAGCUUAAUGCUGCAUUGCGUAAAAGAUACUUACGUUUCAACAAAAAAUUCAGAACUUUUUAAAACAAUAUGUAUUAUACUUAUGUAUAUUUAAUAUUUUGAUGUAGUGAUUUUGGGUAAUGCACUGCAAAGUAAUUUAGUUAGACAAACAAAUGAAGAAAUGCAAACAACAUUUACAUACAAGCAGGCAAAUUUGUAUAUAGUUUAGGUGAGAGGGUUUGUAUAUAUGUAUGUAUGAAUGGACUUGUAAAUGAACAUGCAGGGCGGAAAUGCUGUGUGAUUUCAAAUAUUCUUAAGGAACUGUAAAUUAUCUAUGUAAUUUAUUGUUUUUAGUAAUUUAACUGCUAAGCUGUAAAAGUAAAGAAAAUAAAUGCGCAUAUAUAUGAAUGUAUAUGUAAAUAGUAUAGUAUACAUAAAUAAGUACGUAAUUACAGGUGUGCGCACCUUGGCAUAAAGUAGAAUUC